UGUUGGAUCGACGGAUCUGACACGGGAGUGACUGAAUAAUCUUUCUGGCAUAUGGCUGGAUAAGGUGAUGAGACACAGGUGGUGCUGCUCCGAAAGGAGAAUCGACUUACCAGUCGGGUCUCAGGCAGAGGCGAAAACUUACUUACUGUAGUAAUGCCCUCCUCUUGUUGGUAAUACAGGAAUCCAACCUCCCCACCCC
rnacentral:ncRNA from 1 species